UUCAGUGGUUUCUGCAAAUUUGAUAAGAAAGUGAGCGAAAUUAAUUGAUUAAUUUGUCGCACAUGGAAGGCACAGAGUCAAUUUCCACCUGGAAAAGGGAAAAAUAGAUGAAACAUUAGGUCAGAAAUUAAAAACAAAAACUCAUAGUGAGUCAAAAUCUUAAUAAAGGAGGAUUUAUUAUGAGCUCGCCAAAAUUUGUGUAACACACCUUUUCUGUGUGUAGUUGCAUCAGCUAAAUGUUACCACGUGCAAAAUAAGAAGGAAUAAUUACACUGAUGACAAUGUAGAAUGAAACUCGGGAGAUGGUGGUUGUGUAGAAAAGGUGCCAUGUAUUAAAAAAUUAAAGGAAAACAAAACAGAAAAUAUACAUAACAUAUGGCCACACAAAACUUCUUAAUAUCCAAGAACCAAUAGCAGCUAAUAAUUAACUAUCAAAAUCAAUCCCUUCUCUGUACAAUGACCAUGAAGCUAAAUUAUAAAACCCUCCAAACAAUCAUUAAACAAUAACGUUGGACAGAAACAAUAGAAAUAGAAAGGAGAAUAACCCUUCAAUGCACCACAGAUUCACACAAUAAGAGGAACUUAGUUCAUUUUUCCUAGCACAAGGGAAACAGUGGAAAAAGAGGGGAAAUUGGGGGUUUGCUGGGUGAGAUGUGUGGCUGUGAAUUGGGGUAGGGAUGAAUGAUUAGAGUCUGGCUGCAGCGUGACCUACCGCAUCAGGAUUAUUAGUCAGUUCAGACCCCUGUGUCCAUGUUGGAUUAGCUCGCCAUCACAGUGAUCCAUCGAAGGCUUCGUACUCAACAACAAAUCUGGCCGAUUCCGGGAUUCAGACCUUUCAUUCAACAGGGUUUCAUGAGCUUCAUUGACAUCUGCUGCCAGUAACAAGUUUAACCACCUCAUACUCGACAGAUUGUAUAUUGAAUGCAGUUGUUGAACAAACGUUUACAGCACCGACCUGCAGCAGCUCUUCUCCUUGCAGCGCCACCAUUCAUCUAUCUACAUGUAUAUAAUGUAGGUUGCCAGUCUGAUUGGGUGCCAGGUGCAGAUUUACCACAAGAUUUACCUAUAGCUACAGCCGCUGCUUACAGUUUACAUUUUACCCGUAGUGACCUGGGUUAUAUGUAGGUUUCACCUGAAAAGUAAAAAAACUGACUUUGUGUCUCAUAGUUUUUAUUUUAAAAGUUACAUUAUUUUUUUUAUCUUCACUGCAGCUCAGCACACAAACACUGUCUGGCUGCUUAUACCCACAUUAUAUGUUAAUUAAGUAACUCCGACUGCUCACACCUCAUUAUAGCUUCAGAUGAACAUUUGACUCUGGGUUUGGUCCUUACAUAGGUGCGUUAGGGAGUGGUCUUUUAUGCAUAGGAGAAAGGAACACACCUGCAUAUCUUAAGGUAUACAUGUCUCAACUGACUAUUGUUUCAAGACAGACCUGAAAACAAGUGAUCAUAUCCAUUAGUGCAGGGUGCACUUUAACAUCCUUAUACAUGUGAUAGUUAUAUUAUUUGUCAAUGGUAAAUAUUGUCAAACAAACUUAGAGCAUCUGUGGCCACAGACAAAUACUUGACAAGGCGGUAACAAUAUGAGAUGAACGACGUGUGGCUCCGUUUUUGAAUGAAUUAUAGCAGCUGUGCACACAAUGUGUGCUUUGUCAUGAUUCGGAUUAGGCUGUUAGUUCCAGUGAUGGGAAAUCUGAAUGCUACAGCACACAAUGAUAUUUUAGACACUAUGUCCCAGUGCACAAAGCUGGGUGCAUGAUAUGUGUCCAUUGUUACGAUGUAAAGCUCCAUGAGGCAACUUUGUGAUUGGUGAUAUUGGACUAUAUAAAUUAAAUUUUACUUGACUUGACAAUGUCAUCACUCGUAUCAGUUCAGAGAGCAGUGAGUGUGAGGGUUGUGCCAGACAGAUUGGCAGCACGUCUUUGUAGCUCUUUUUUUCUAAUAAUCUAUACAUUUAUUUAAUAUUUGACUCUCUGUGUUAACUGAUCGCUUGUUCUUAACCCAUCUAUCUAUCUAUCUUUCUUAUCUCAUCUCAUCUGGAUACUGUGGAGUUAACAGACACGUCCAGAAAUCAGUAACAGAUUAAUAAGAACCACUUGUUCUCUGCACCAGAGAUACUGAUCACACUAUGACAAGAAUCACAGCAGAGUCUCAUUUGCUUUUUACUUUGCAUUUGUGAAAGUUGACAUGCAAUAACCUUUGUCCAUUAGAAUGUGUGUCAAUCGUUGCCCAAAUUAUACCUUUCACAUGCGGGCCAUCUAUUCACGGCAUGCCUUUUGUGUUUCCAGCUGCAGCCACAUGAGGACCUCUGCUGCGUCAGCCAAAACAAUAGGUGGUGCUUCUAGAAGAAGAAAAGACGUGAUAAGCAAAACAAGAGGGUUGCUUUCCACCUCUGGGGACAACUGUUGGUGCUGAAUGCAGAGGUCUCAUUAGCCUGAUGUGCUACACCUGGGCCCAGUGUGCACCAUGAAGGCCUUCCCAGUCAGUCCUGUCAAGGGCUCGAGUCAAAUCAGCUUUAUUGGCAUGACAGAUCAGAAACCUAUAUUGCCAAACCAGUACAGAAAAUUAUAAACAAUGACAGCUGAUUGAUUAAUGAUUAUACAAUAAUAUGCAAAUAUCAACAAUAAUAUUAAUUAAUUCAUUUGAUUGUGAAGCACUUCACAACUAUUGUUUGUGAAAAGUGCUAUAUGAAUAAACUUUGGUUGCUUUUCCCCUUUUCAGUUGUGAAAUGUCUUUUUUCUUAUCUUACCCACAUCUGACCUUAUCUGUGGGAAAUAAGAAUAAUGCAUUUUGAAAUGCUUGUAAUGUUUUAAACUCUUGUAGACACUCACUUGAUUUGUUUCAUUCAGACUGCAGAGCCUCAUAUUUGCUUCAGCUGGACUUUAGAAAACUGGAUUUUAUCCUCCAUCACUUCUACUGAAGUUGCGUUAGCAAGGGAUUUCUCUGCUGCCAGGAUGGACAAGAGGAUCAAUUUCAGCCACCAAGAAUUAUUUCAAUGUACUUACACUACGGGCAUGUGAGUACUGUUUUAAAAUAGACUGAAUCUAUCCUCUAACUAUCAGGGUGAAAGAGCAAAAGAGGUCCUGUGUGACAAAGCAAGUGCCAAACAUCAUAUUUGUAACAAGUGAGGCUAAUGUUAAGAUCGUUAUCCACUAACUGAUGAUGGGAUGAAAAGUGUAAUGAUCUGCAAGGCUGAUCUAUUAAUUCCUUCAAACAAUUUCCCUGUUGAGAACCCGUUCAGGAUCAGAAACUGGUCUAAACAGGACACCGGUAUCACUCACACUCUGUCAGCUCUGUGGUUUUUAUUGCCUUUGGCAGAAAACUGUGUUUACACAGGACCCGCCUCCACCCACCAGUGUCACUACUGUCGGACCCACAGCAACUCAUUCAACAAGUAACAGUGGACAAACUGGCCGGGCUUCAUCGUUGUACUUAUUUGUUUGUAGAAAGGGAUCGGUCACCUCUUCAGGCCCCAGCUACAGGACAAAAAACUUUUCUGAAAAAUCCCCCACCAAACUGAAAGGAAGAAAACACUAGAUCACUUCUGAAAUCUAAAACCAUUCACCAAACCAGAUUAACUCUGUUUAUAUACCGAGGUUAUAAACUGAGUGAAUGAUUUAAAACUUGAGAACAUGUUCAUCACUGGUAAUUCACGCCCUUCAUUGGAGGCAGUGAAAUCUAUGAUGGAGCUGCAGUCGAAGAAAUGUAUUUCCCUUAAUGGCGAACCUACGGUGGCCCUAAGAGCUCGAAGCACUGCGGCUUAAAAAAACACAUGCAAAGAGACUAAACACAAACAAAAUCAGACGACGUCCACAUCACCGCGUUUUUAUUUGGAAAUGGCGUCUCAAACGAAAACAAUGUCCAUCCAGACGAACAAUCUCUGUCCAGACUAUCACACCUGAAAACGCACACAUACAUGAGCAAUGACGUACACUGGGCGUGCACGAGCCGGUGUAAAAAGGAAGCAGAUUGUCUUCUCUGCAGUUCAAUAGGUGCAAAAAAUACUACGAACAAGGAACAGCAGAGUUAAAAUAAUUGAACUGCACAACAGCUGUUAGCGUAGCGAGUUCAUAAGUUGGUGAUGUCAUUACUGGAAGCGCACUGAUUUUAAUUUAUUGUUACAAACUUACCUGUUUCUAGAUUAUGUUAUUUACUGUUUUAUUGUUUUAUUGUGAUGUAUUAGUUAUCACUGAGAUUUCUGUUGUGUACUUUAACGCCAUACUGACGAGCGCAUGCAGACUUCGCGGAGACACCUCGUGUUCCGUCACAGUCUGCGAAGCUCCGCCAAAAUACUUUCCUUUUUAUGGGUAAAAGUGUGUUUUAUUUUAUUUUACAUGUGGAGAUAAGCUCCCGACAACACUAACUAAUGUUCUCUGAUGAUGUUGGGUGGUUGAAAUGUAUGUGGAGCAAGUUGCUGUGCAGGUUACUGUGUCGGUAACUCUGUUAGCUUCUCUAGUCGUUAGCUCAUGGCUAAUCCUGGCGACAGCGCUAACCACUGCACCACCGUGCAGCCCCAAGCCUCAUGUGUUUAGUUUAAUUUUGUUCUGCUGUAUGCUGUGCUGCUUCGUUAAUGAGAGCUGGCUGUGGAGGCUGAGUUUUCACCAGUGCCAAAAUAAAUUUGGGUCCAAGCCGAACAGUGACUGAGAGUGUGUCAUCAUUUAAUCUAAACAACGCAAGACUACUGACCCACUACACUAGCAAAGACAACAAGGUCAGUGACGCUUGUAUAUCAUUAUCCACGUUUCUUUCACCCCUUGUAGCCGAGGCUGAUAAGACCCAAUCAGGGAGCGG